AUGUUGCUAAUUGAAGUGGAAUCCUUGACUGCCACUGAGACUGGCACCUCCACCAACCCUUCCUCUGGGACUUAUGUCUCUGCUGCUGAGCCUGGCAAUAACCUAUCUGAAGAUGCCGAAUCCAAGAGGAGUUCCAGAGCUAAUCCAGACAAAGGUCAUGCAGCUAAUUCAGGGGCACCACCCAACAGAGGACGGUCCUUUGGCCACAACCAGAUGCUUGGAGAUUCUACCCCUACUUCAGUCCUUAAAACACAUCUCCCUGACUCUCCAUACUCCCCCCAGCUAAGUAACCUUGAAAAGAUCAUGAAUUCUGUACAUGGUGAGGCUGAUAGGUUUAACCUCCUCAGAGAAAUGGAGCUUCUGGAAGAUGAUGAUAUGAUGGAAUUAGAAGGUUCUGUAGAUCUCCAAGAGGAUCAAGACACUCUGACUCAAGUUGAUGACCUCACAGACAACUUGGACUCUCAAUAUAACAAUGACUUCCCUGCCCUCCCAAAAGACCUGCACCCUCCCAAAUGGGGCCCAGUUCAUGCCAUUAGAGCCUGUGCUAGGGUGGCUGGUGACAAGAGAACUAUUAUUGAAAAGGCCAAGCAGCUUAAAGAGGUUCAGAAUCUGGAAGUACAAAAACCCAGGGUAUGA
rnacentral:rRNA from 1 species